AACCACACACUCCUCGUCUUUGAGUACGGUAACAGCUCAGACAUAAACCGAAUUAGGGGCCUAAACAUAUUGCAGAGGACGCGAUGGCAAAAUUGUGAAGAGGGGUAGAGAAAUUUCAAAAGACAUUUGGAGCUUCAAUCUUUCAACAAAUUGUCAAGGAGCUAGAUAUUUAUCGCUAUGUUCACCCAACAGUAAAAAUGCAGAGAACUGGCAUGUAUUCC
rnacentral:lncRNA from 1 species